UACGUAGGGGGCAAGCGUUGUCCGGAAUUAUUGGGCGUAAAGCGCGCGCAGGCGGUCCUUUAAGUCUGAUGUGAAAGCCCACGGCUCAACCGUGGAGGGUCAUUGGAAACUGGGGGACUUGAGUACAGAAGAGAAGAGUGGAAUUCCACGUGUAGCGGUGAAAUGCGUAGAGAUGUGGAGGAACACCAGUGGCGAAGGCGACUCUUUGGUCUGCAACUGACGCUGAGGCGCGAAAGCGUGGGGAGCAAACAGG
rnacentral:rRNA from 1 species